UACGAAGGGGGCUAGCGUUGCUCGGAAUUACUGGGCGUAAAGCGCACGUAGGCGGAUUGUUAAGUCGGGGGUGAAAUCCUGGAGCUCAACUCCAGAACCUGCCUUCGAUACUGGCGAUCUCGAGUUCGGGAGAGGUGGAGUGGAACUGCGAGUGUAGAGGUGAAAUUCGUAGAUAUUCGCAAGAACACCAGUGGCGAAGGCGACUCGCUGGC
rnacentral:rRNA from 1 species